rnacentral:lncRNA from 7 species
GGAAGAAUAUUUUUCUGAUGAUUCCUCUUGUGAAGCUUUCCCCUUUGAACCUGAUCUCUUUGAGGAAAACUUUGCAGUGAAAGAUGUCCUGAUACUACUUUCCUUAAAUAGAGAAAUAAUAAAAAAAAAAAGACCUGCAUAAGAUAACAUUACUUAUCCAGGAGCUAUGGUGAGGAUGCUGUUUCUAAUGAUAGCUCAGCUAAAAUAAAAUGUGUAAUGACUUUAGGAGGUCGUCAUCUGAAACUCAGAAUCACACAAAGACAGAAAAAGAGCAGCAUGAAAAAUUGAUCAUAGGGAUGCCUACCUCACACAAAUGACAUUUUUCAAGGAGGAACACUUUUCAUGCUUUCAGAGGGAGCUCUACCAUUUAAAAAGGCAUUUAUCAGGCAGGAAAACAGAGUGCUAUGGAACUUUCAGCCUGAAACUGAAGCCUGAAGAGAGACAUUCCUGGUUUUGUUGCAAGUUUGGAACUUUAGAGAUGUUCACUGAAAGCUCUGUGUAAAUUUCUACGGUUUCUUGAAUGAUGCUUGGCAGGUUUGUGGGUGCUUCUGAGACCUACAGGAUUGCAAGAAAAUAGUACCCAAGGCCUUGCUUGGGCAGAGCGCAGUACUGAUAACACUCAUUGUCUCAUUAAGACAGAUAACCACCACUAUACUGUCUCAAAUGGGUGCUGAGAGAGCUGACAGCAGACACCUGGUUCAGCAGUGGGAAGUCAACUGAGCAUGUGCCAAAUCUAUGACUUUGAGUCAAUCAUCUUAACCCAUGAAUAGUGAGCAGUACAUCUGCCCCUUGAGUUCUUCUGUAUGGUAGUUGAUUCUGUGAUGGGAUUUCCCCUUGGGAAAGGAAUGCCUUUUGAGGUUGUGUCUGCUGUAAGAAUCCCUUAAACAUUGAUGCUGGGAGAUGCCUUGCAGGUACAGAUCCUUGGAAGACUUUUGAUGGGCUGGUGCAGAAAUAAGCUGUCUGCAAGUUCUGGUGAGAGAUAUGGUGUUACAUAAGGGUGCAGACCUCCCAGCUGAGCCCAGACAGAUCUGGAGAUCACCAGGAGCAAGGAUGUCAGGAUUUCACUUACAUUUCCCUGAGUGGAAGGCCUGGGAUUGUUGGCUGGACUGUACCACCUGAGACUGCUCAAUGUGUUUUAGUUCUUUUUACUCAGCCAUUUUGCAGUUUAGGUUAAGCAAUAAUGCUGAAAUCCUGCUUCUUUGCUUACUCUUAUGGCACUCAAAAAUGCAUUUUUAAGGUGUAUUUUUGUGCUCUGCCUUAAGAAUAUAGCACUGACCAGAGGUGAAUGGUCCCUGUAUGUCUAUUAAUGUUAAAUGAGGCUUUUCAUAAAUCCUGACUGAAUUUCUUACAUUAAGAUAAUAAUCUCUGGCAUAAUGUAGUGCUCUGUGAAAUUAAAGUAGCAAACAGGAGUUAGUUGAUAUUAAAGUUGCAUAUCUACCUAAAAACAUAUUAUAAA